AGUUAGCCUCGGCCCCACAUCCUCCCUGACCCUGGCUUUUGUCUUCCGGGGGCUCUGUGGGCCUCCUUGUGCAGCCUCCCCGUGGUUCUGGGCUGGGGCCUCCUGCAUUUCCAUGGUUUCUGUGAUCCUGCCUUCUCCCAAGGCCUCCCUUAACCUCUGCCUUGCUUCCCCUGACCUUUCCCCACUUCUCCCCGACUUCUCAGCUCUGUUCCCUGCAGCCCGCUCCAGGUCCUCCCCAAGGGAUGCUGUGGCACAGAUGCCUAUGUCUUCCUCGGAACAGAAGCACAGCCAGAGACUCAAAGAGGUCAUCUCCAGGGGCUAAUCUCCCAGACUCUGGUCCCUGUACUCUUCUUUUGACAAGGCGAGGGCUCAGCUUCAAUUAUCCUGAGGCGGUGUUGAGGGGGUGGACAUUGGAACAACUCUUCUGCCUCUAAUCAGCUACCUGAGCAGCACAGGGUCCCUUUGCUGCAGGCAGAGCUGGAGCUGGAGCAGAAGUGUGGCUGAGGCCACUGAGGAAGCAUUCACAGCUUAGACCUGCAGCCUCCUCCGACCACAGAGCUAAUGCUGUGGAGCUGACCACUUGGCACCAGAGAUCUCCAGGGAAACCCUGCCAGCGCCCUGAGCUUAUGGCCUGGCCUUAAACCUGCACCACUGGCUUCAAAAGUGCCACAUCCUCUCCCUAUCUUUAAAGAUAGCACAGCACCUGCCUUCAUGAAUCCAUUUCAGUGAAAGCGUGGCUUAAAAACCAGAGCUGUACAGCAACAUACACACACGCCCUAAACACAUCCCCACUUCUACCUUCCAUCUUUUCUCUUUCUGCAUUCAUUCCUCUGGCCCAGUCUCUGUGUCUCUGUUCCACUUAUUUCUGUCUCUGUCAAUCUGUGUCUCUUUCCAUCUGCCUCUGUCCCUCGCUGCGUCUCUGCUUCUCUCUGCCACAUUUUGUGUUUCUUUUCUGUCUCUGUCCGCUUGUGAGUGUUAUUCUACAUCUCACGCCUUCUCUGAGUUUUUGUUCAUGUCUGCCUUCUCCUCUCACCCCCAAGGGCCCUGAGGUCCCCCCUCCCCUCAUUCCUCCCUUCCCCCAUAGCAACCACCUCUCUGGGUGCCACUAGCUCACGCUUAGCUCUUAAGGCAAUCGUAGAAAGAAGAAAGGGAGGAGGAUGCUAGCGGGGAGCUUGAAGCAAGUGGUGGGGCAGCAGUGAGAAGUAGAAGUAGCGCUGAAUAAAUACGCAGCUGUCUCUUUUAUCUCUUCUUGGCAGGAGGCAGAAGCUGGGGCAGGGGAGGCUCAGACGAAUGGGCAGGGAGGGAGAUGGAUGAUGGGGCCCAGAGUGAGACGGGGAGACUCAGGGCAGCCGACAGGACUGAAAUGAAGGGGGAUGUAAGUUUCCACAACCUCUGGCUCCUGGCAGGAGACUCUCCACCCUGAUUACUAGGGACAGGGAAUUGUUUAGGAGUCCAGGACACAAAAGGAUAAAAUAAGGAGACCGUGGGAAGAGCAGUAAGUGUGUGUGUGUGUGUGUGUGUGUGUACGCACGCGUGCGCGCGCACUACUCACUAGUCGCUAGUGCUAUUUGCUAAAUAUUUCCGGGUCUCCUCUUCCGAAUUGCACUCCCUGGCCCCCUUGUGGUUGGAUGGGGCCAUAUGACCAGUUCUGGCCAAUGGGCAGAAGAGAAAGUGUCACUUCCCGGCAGAAGAAUGUAAUUGCCAAUGCAACAUCUUCCAGAGGUCUUUCUUUCCCUCUGGCACUAUGACCAGCAAGCUUUGAGCUAGUGGCUUCUCCAUCAGUCUGGGCCUUGGGGUGAUAUGAUGUGCAGAAGCUGUGACUGGCAUGUCGCGUGAGCAAGAAGCAAGCCCUUUGGUUUUAA